GGGAAUAUUGGGCAAUGGGCGCAAGCCUGACCCAGCGACGCCGCGUGGGGGACGAAGUCUUUCGGGACGUAAACCCAUGUUGUACGGGACGAAGGAAGUGACGGUACCGUACGAGGAAGCCCCGGCAAACUACGUGCCAGCAGCCGCGGUAAUACGUAGGGGGCGAGCGUUGUCCGGAAUCACUGGGCGUAAAGCGCACGUAGGCGGGCUGUUAAGUCGGCCGUGAAAUACACUGGCUCAACCGGUGCAGGUCGGUCGAUACUGGCGGUCUGGAGUAUGGGAGAGGGAAGUGGAAUUCCCGGUGUAGCGGAGAAAUGCGUAGAUAUCGGGGGGAACACCAGUGGCGAAGGCGGGUUCCUGGCGCAUGACUGACGCUGAGGUG
rnacentral:rRNA from 1 species